GUAGCCUCCCUUUGGUUCGUCUGCUCAAUCGGUCACGAAACGAUCACCAUGGCCACUCAGUUACCGUGUUUGACGCAGAGACACCGGAAACACAACGUUCAUUGGAUGGUGGUGUCUCCAGCUCACAGUGGGGUUUUGUGUGUUGCUUGUUUGGUGGAGCAGGUGGAGAAUGAUGAAGCCCCACUGGUACAGAGAAAAGUCGUCCUGUCAUUGUUGGCCAGUCUUCUUGAAGACAAUGGAGAAAUAGCAGCCAAGUUUGAAGAAAAUCUUUUACUUUGUAGACACAUGAUUGACAUUGUGACAGGCAGUUUUUUCAAACAUGACCAGCAUAUGGACACAGCAAUUAAAG